ACCAGACAGCGUGUCUGCCUGUCUGGUCACCCGGGCGAUCGUGCAGUGGCGCGACCCACCAGACGGGUCAUCUGAUCCCACGCGCGGCUGAACCACAAACCAGAGGAGGGGAUCGAAGGAAGGGGGCGACUUCCUUUCUCUCGCCCCUGAACAAAAAAAAAGAUCAAAGCCAGAACAGACAGACAGGGGAGACACCAGAUCGAACCAAGAAAAGAGAAAGGGGAGAGAUCGGAUCGAACGAAGAGGGAGGUGAGAAGAGGGUUUCAGGAGACUGGCGGCGGCGGCCUCUCCUCCCUGACGGCGCGCUUCACGGCGGGGAAGCUUGAAUCCUCGGGGCCCCUUCCUGCCGCCCCUGACCGCCGCUGCUCCUCUCCAACACGCUGCCGAUCUUCCCCAAGGAUCCUCUUCUGCUUCUCUUCUUAAAAGAUCACGCACAAGACCUCAAGCCUUUCACGCAGAAGAUCUUUUCUAGUUGUAAAUCUCUGAAACUCUGUACUGUUUUGCUUUGAUCUGCAUAUGAACCUGUGAAUCGUUGCAUGGACAUGGGUUAAUUGGUGAAAAAUUACUGUGAGAAUACUUAGUAUGCUACCCAGUGAUCUUGAUUUCCUGUAUGAGUAGUUAUGAGCGGCUGAAUCCUGUUUCACUUGC
rnacentral:rRNA from 1 species